AGCAAUGAACUCCCCGGAACCCAACUAGAGAGAGGAAAAUAAAUUAAGAGAAAGGGAAUGGGAAGCCCCUUUCUCUUUCUCUCUUCUUCCUUCUUCCCGGCGGAAAGGGGAGAAAAGGGGGGUUCGGCAGUAGGCAGCCCACGGCCGGCGACGCUCCAUGGUCGUCGGCCUAUGGCGUGCCGGCGAUGCCACGCCCGGCGUCGGCUGGCCGGAACGGAAGAGGAGAAGGCCGAACAGGGUUCGGCUUUCCCCAUUCAGUCCGGCGGCUUCCCGGCUACAAUCCCCAAGAGGUAAUGGCCAAAGAUGAUGGAGGAGGAGGAGGAGGUGCUCACCUUGCCUCCGGCGAGGUCCUCCCGACCGGAUCGACGGCGACCGCUUCGAUUCCUCCCGCGGCAUGGAGCUCUUGUCCAGAGUUGGUGAGAGGUAAGCAUCGCGGGGUCUUUUCUUAAUUUGAUUCCCACUGGAGGGGGAGAAGAGGAAGCACAAUGGUUAGGCCACGUUCUCCCUUUCUUCCUUUGAUUUGUAUUCUGGAAUGAGAUGGGUUGUUUCUGGACACUCAACAAUCUCCUCAUUAAAGUCAUGGUCCACCUUCACCUACACAUCCGGCAGCACAAUGGUUAGGCUCUUCUUUUUCUUUCUCCUCCCUUUUUUAUGGAGAAGCAACCGACUGAACUCGUUCCUCUGCGACGUUGCUCCAUCUUCCACAGACAAAGUUAAUGCCACAUGUUGCAAUUUACUUUGCCAUGAUUUUUGACCUACUGAUAGAUUCCAUGACUGUCCUUGUUAUUUCUUAUAUCAACUAGUUGUGGUCCAUUGGGAUCUUCUCAUGUUUCACUGAUUUUGCUUAAACUAAAUUAUUAUGCAUCUCCUGGUUGUUUGCUUAUCACAUUUGCAAUCACAGAAAAUUACUUCUUUCUUGCUGGAGUUCUCCAAGGUAAGGAGGGGGAGGAAUAAAGGGAAGGAGAAGCAUCCUUUCUGGCUUUGUCUUUUCUGACACUCUCAUAUGAACCAAGAAAUCUAUAAACUAUCAUACAAGAACCAAAUGAUCAAUAAAUAAAUUAUAGCUAUAUUUCCGGAUGAAAGUACAUAACACGAUUGGCAUUGCUCAGCCUAGUAACUCCAUCUCACUUGUCUGAUACAGGGGCUAUUGGACAAACUGGCUUUGGGCGCCGUUCAUGAUUCGAGCCACAUUUGGGUGAUAAAGGAGAGGAAAUAACAAAGAUUGAAGAAACCAUGCAAUCAGAGUCAACUGGACUCGGGCUUUUUGAAAUUUCUGCACAUAGGGUAGCCAUCAGCAAUGCACUUGGAUCCUCACCACUGCGCGCAAUUUGUUAGGCUGUAUAACAUUUUUCUAAGUAAAAGUUGUUUGUAAGAGAUUUAAUGUUUUAGCAAUUUUAUUUCAAAAAAAAUAUGUGUACAUGUUUAAAUUCAUUAAUUCGAAUUUACCUAUGAAUCUGACAUGAGAUGCAGUUU